rnacentral:rRNA from 1 species
AUUGAACGCUGGCGGCAGGCCUAACACAUGCAAGUCGAGCGAGCGGCGGACGGGUGAGUAAUGUAUGGGGACUGCCCGAUAGAGGGGGAUAACUACUGGAAACGGUAGCUAAUACCGCAUACUAUCGGAUAACCCAUAUGGGAUUAGCUAGUUGGUGGGGUAAUGGCUCACCAAGGCGACGAUCCCUAGCUGGUCGGAGAGGAUGAUCGGCCACACUGGGACUGUGACACGGCCCAGACUCUUACGGAGGCAGCAGUGGGGAAUAUUGCACAAGGUGCGCAAGCCUGAUGCAGCCAUGCCGCGUGUAUGAAGAAGGCCUUCGGUUUGUAAAGUACUUUCAGUCGGGAGGCGUUACCGACAGAAGAAGCACCGGCUAACUCCGUGCCAGCAGCCGCGGUAAUAC